rnacentral:rRNA from 1 species
GACGAACGCUGGCGGCGUGCUUAACACAUGCAAGUCGAACGAUGAAGCCGGAGCUUGCUCUGGUGAAUUAGUGGCGAACGGGUGAGUAACACGUGAGUAACCUGCCCUUGACUCUGGGAUAACUGCGGGAAACUGUAGCUAAUACCGGAUACGACCCUCGGAGGCAUCUCCUGGGGGUGGAAAGAAUUUCGGUCGAGGAUGGACUCGCGGCCUAUCAGCUAGUUGGUGAGGUAACGGCUCACCAAGGCGACGACGGGUAGCCGGCCUGAGAGGGUGACCGGCCACACGGGGACUGAGACACGGCCCAGACUCCUACGGGAGGCAGCAGUGGGGAAUAUUGCACAAUGGGCGCAAGCCUGAUGCAGCAACGCCGCGUGAGGGAUGACGGCCUUCGGGUUGUAAACCUCUUUUAGUAGGGAAGAAGCGGAAGUGACGGUACCUGCAGAAAAAGCACCGGCUAACUACGUGCCAGCAGCCGCAGUAA